AGGAGAAAAACAUGGUGUCGAUGUUUACUGUAAACAAACUUGAAUGGGCCUAACCCUGCCACUUUCGAGCACUUUCACUGCCUGCUGCAUACUUUCACGCAACAAUUUAAUUAGGCCUACUUGGAAAACAUUGGAAUAUUAUUAAAAACACAUUUCAAUAUUACUAUAAGAUUGUUUUGAUCAGGGUGUUUAACGCAAUGUUUUACAUCUAGACUUAUUUGUGAAUUUCAAACGAAUUAUGCAAUAUAGUAUGAAAAAACGGCUGUCCUUAUGCAUCGCUCAAAUGUUGCCGAAUUUAUUGUAUCAAAGUUGCCCAUGCGAAAGCCAGAAGUGUCCCAAUAUUGUCCUACAUAGGUCUAUAUCCUCUGUAGCCUGCCUCUGCCAGAACCUCGCACGACAGACAGGGUUUCGAAUUUCACAGUCCCUACAGUGGGCUUGCCUUCACACUCAUUUCAAGCACAAAGGAAAGCUGUGCAAAAAUGAUAUUGUAAAUGUAACUUUUCGAUUUUAUUUAGGUAAUAUGUUUCUUUUUAUUCUAUACAUAAGCCUAAAAGACAGGUUAAGCGAUGCGAUCCAUGAAAGGGGGCUGAUAGCGUUAUAUUCCGUUAAAGUAGGGAAGUAAAGUUAGGCUACAGGUAAAGCGGGCAAACAACAGCCUAGUGAGAGUCAAUAACAAAGACCCAAAGGACUCCACAAAUCCGGUGAAAAUAAGGUGAAAAUGGAAGACUUCGCUUGAGAAAUUCGUCCGAUUAUAAAAGAGGAACGUAAAAAAGAACCAUGAUCCGAUGAAAAAAUAAUGACAAACUUACCAGACAUGUUGUACAAAUUAAGAAGGAGUCCUGGAAGAAGAGCAGUUAUGAGAUUCCACAAUGUCCUUUUCUGGCUCAGUUAUAUGGGCUAUAACGAAAUAUUCAUAAAAGUCACACAAAUUCUCAACACACAAGUCUUAAAACUGUCUCAGAGCAUACAAUAAUAUCCUAAUAUAGCUAGGGAUAUAUUAGUUUGUGAAAUUUUCUUUCCAUGCCUACUUUUUAAAACCCCUAGAACUCAAUGAUUUGACAAUGAUUUGAUUGCGCGUUACUUUCAAUUUGAAUAUUCAAAGGCUACUCAAAAAUACAGAUUUUUCAGUAUAAAUCAAUACAUAUGCACUUAAAAUAACAUUUCAUUUAAUAGAAUUUAAUAAUAUUUUAUACCCAAACCAAAAAGAAAUUGACAUUUUAAACAUUUUAUCCAUCUUUUGCCAAUCUGCCCAUCAGUCCCUCUUCAUAAUGAGGCACUACAGGAAAGUAACGGUUAGAUGUUCUAUGUAAACAUGACCAACAAUUAAACAUCGCAGAUCAUAUCUAUUUCAGGAUGGAUGAGCACAUCAACACGUUAUGACUAUACAUUUUUAGUCUUAUUUUAAACAAUAAACUAUGAAAUGUCUAGGUUGUGGGCGUGGCAUAUGGUAGCAGCCAUUUCUGCCAUCACUGACUCCAUUGCUCCCUCAGCAAUUGCAUGCUCCCCAUCACUGGAACUCACAUCACCCACGUCUUACCAAUUGUAUUAUAGUUGUUUUAGCAUUAUUUAGUCUUUAUAUUAUAUAAUUAAUGUAACUAGACUGAACGUUUCAGCCAUUCACAUGUCAAACCUGAUUUGACAUCCCAGGGCUAGGCUACUAUAUACGAAUCGAGAAAACUAUUUACAAAUGAAUUACAAUGCAAAAAUUCGGUUUACAAACGUCUGAUAUAUUUUCAAUUCAAUGACAAGACUCCCCGAUUAGUCUACUUGUGUAGCCUAGGCCUACUUAGAUGUGGGCAAAGUAAUUUCAAUUGAUAGACUUAUUUGAAUAGGGUUACUGUCCAUACCUGUUUAAAUUUAUAAGAGUUUACAACUUAAUACAUAUAUGAGAAAACAGCACAUUGCUUUAGAGAAAACCAUUUCCUAUGAAUGUUCUUCCAUUGCCAUUGUGAGCCUACAUUACAUCUGAAUAACAAUUUACAAACAUAUUAAACAAUGAACUCGAACUUAUACCUAGUUUUAAUUAAAAUAGCUUAGAUUUCAGUUUUGGGGUAUCGAUCUAUCAUUAUCCUCACUCAUAUAUUGAGAAAAUGCACACACUAUCUGCCCAAUACAAUCUAUGGCCUUUCCUGAUUUGUACUGGUAGGGGCCUAUACAAUGAUCCCUAUUAUGUAGGCCUAAAUCCCAUCAUCUCCACUGGGUAGUUCUAUUGACAAACUUCUCACCUUCCAUAAAGUUAUCCUAACUACCAAGAAUAUUAUGCUAGUGCUCUCAUAGAAUAUCUAACGUUUGGCUUUUUUUAUUGAUUUAUUGCUGCAGUUGCAAUUCCCCCCCAUGAAUUACGCUGAUAUCGUAAGAGAAGAUGUAACAUGAAACAACCGCGCCAUCUAGUGUGGGAUAUACGUUAGUAGGUUCUCCCUCAGUCUUAAUUCGAUGUAGUGGUGACAGAACAAAAUAUAACUCAACGGAAAAGUAAUGUUUUUUUCAUGUGUCAUUUUAGCAAAAAAUAUGUUUCAUUUUCAAUCAUUUAUUGCAGUGUCUUUUAUUAUAAUGGAUUUAUAAUAAAGAAUUCUACUGCCCUA